CUCGCCCCGCCGCCGGCACAAUGCUCUGGGCAGUGGGGCUGUGAGCUCCUGGGGCAGCGCAGCUGCAAAGCCCGGCCUGAGCCGGUGCUCUGAGCUGUGUGGUUGCGGCGGCAGUGUGGCCCGGCUCCAGCUGGGCAGUGCGGCUGGAGCGCCGCCAGCCACCGGUGCUCCAGGCAGCGUGCAGUUAGCUCACCUGGUCCCGGACUGGGACUUCUCGGUGCUACACUAACGACAAUACAAGAGUAUGACUCUUUUCCCCACAGCUGUGAACGCUGGCAUGGCAUAGAGGAACAAAGAUUUUCUGUUGGACUAAACACACAUUUAUUGGCCUGGAGACGAUGUCAUAGCUUAAGUUCUGUUUGCGAAGAUCCCC